CUGUGCGUUAGAGCAGGCGCAUUAGAGGAUGUAAUGGGGUUCAUGGGCUCAAGUUCCUAGGCCAGAAUUGAUUUAAAAAAAUAAAAAAUGAUUUUAAUUCAUUGAACCGAUCCUUAGUAGUGAACUUGUAUGAAGCGGUUCAGACCACGUGUCAAUCAGUCACUGUCUUUUCUUUCCUUCUCCACAUCUUCUCCUCGUCUCUUACAGAAGCUGGAGUUCGGUAAUAAGUCUAGCUUUAGCUUCCUCCACUCUCUCUCCAUCUCCUUCCAUUGUUCGUCCUCUUCUCUCCUCUUUCCUCAUUUCAUCAGAUUCAAUUCUUUUUCCUUUCAUCUCAAUUCUUCUCUGUUUUUUAUUUCUCUUUUGUAACAAUCAGAGGAGAAUGGUGGUGGUCUGAUAAAUUGGACCUUAUUCCUUGUGUAUGUUUACUGAAAUCAAUAUAUCUUGCGAUUAUAGAGCUCUAAUCUCCAUUUUUUUCUUAUGAGGUUAUGUUUUGAUGAUAGAGACAUUUUUUUUUACUUACAAUGAGUACACCAAGAAACGGCUUUUCCAAGCAUCAGAGAGCUGAGAAAGUCUGUGGUCAGAGAGGGCCUAAUUGGAUCCUAAUCGCAGGUGGAGCCUUGUUGAGCACUCUGUCCAUUCGCUUUGGCUACAAGCUUAAGCAGUCGCCUCUUUUCAAACCUCCUCAUCAGUCUAAUGCCUCUCCUGGAUUUAAAGCCAAUGGAACAUCUGAGAGGCAAAGAUGUUGUUGUUUGCACUCCUCCACCACGUCUUCCUGUGCAAAGAAUAAUGGUUAUUCCUGCUUCCGCUCCGUUCCAGGUCUUUACAGGUCACAGGAACACUGUUUUUUCCCUAUGUUUCAGACACAGAACUGCAGAGCUCUACUCUGGUUCAUUUGAUCGAAGUGUCAAGGCGUGCACUUACGGUUGGGAGAGAUAGAAUCAUGCAACUACACAAGUUUGUGUAUUGUGUUACAGGAAGGUAGACAAGGCAGAGAAGCUUGAUGGAGGAGAAGGUGGCAAAAGGAGUGAGUCAUUAGUGGCGAGGACAUUAGGUGUUUAGAGUGGAGAAGGUCCAAGCUCCGGUAUGUGACUAGAAGACGGUGACGUUGGAGAUAGAACUUUGGCUUUAGAAUUUUAGGUGUAGGUUUAAUUGUUUUUUAAAAAAUUAGUUAAGUUUGAUAUACCUGUCAUAACUAUGUAACCAAUUUCAAUAUAUAAAAAAUUUAAUAUAAAUUUGUAUUUUUAUAUUUUAUAUUUUUUUUUAAUUUUUAAUAAUGCCAAUUAUUGUAUGAAUAAUCUUUGUAUGUUUUUGAAUUCUCAAUGUAUUGAAUAAAAUUUUAAUGUCA